ensembl:lncRNA
GGGGGGGGCUGGGAGGGACUGGGAGGGAAUGGGAGGGAAUGGGAGUCAUACUGGGAUAUACUGGGAGGGACUGGGAGGGACUGGGAUCAUACUGGGAUAUACUGGGAGGGACUGGGAGGGACUGGGAUCAUACUGGGAUAUACUGGGAGAGACUGGGAGGGACUGGGAGUCAUACUGGGAUAUACUGGGAGGGACUGGGAGUCAUACUGGGAGGGAAUGGGAGGGACUGGGAGGGACUGGGAGUCAUACUGGGUGGGACUGGGAUAUACUGGGAGGGAAUGGGAGGGACUGGGAGGGAAUGGGAGUCAUACUGGGAUAUACUGGGAGGGACUGGGAGGGAGUGGGAGUCAUACUGGGAGGGACUGGGAUAUACUGGGAGGGGCUGGGAGGGGACUGGGUUAUACUGGGAGGGACUGGGAGUCAUACUGGGAUAUACUGGGAGGGACUGGGAGGGACUGGGAGUCAUACUGGGAUAUACUGGGAGGGACUGGGAGUGAUACUGGG